GCCGAAGUGGCGGAAUUGGUAGACGCGGCAGACUCAAAAUCUGCUGAGGGGCAACCCUCGUGCCGGUUCGACUCCGGCCUUCGGCACCA
rnacentral:tRNA from 1 species